GGAUUAUAAAAACCCAUUUGAACUGGGAUGGGACUCUUUUUAGCCUCAAGCACAUGACCAUGAGCACUACAAAAGAAGAACAAAGAGUUGCUAUAGUGGCCGUGAUGCAACUAGAAUACAUCCAAGCAUAAAUUCCUGGAAUAUUGAGAGUAAAACUGAAAGAAGAAUCCAUUACAAGAUGGGAUGAGAAAAGUUUGGUCCUUUGAGGUUUAGCUUCGGAGUUUGAAUACAAUAAAGAUAACGAAGAAAAAGACAAAUGUAGUUGUGUCAACAGCCUGAGAGAAGGAUUCAGAGUAUGAUCCUUUUCUCUCCCAGAUAAUUUGAAAUAAUAAAGCCUAUUUACUCUGGAAACUGACUGUACUCAGGGACAGGAGCAGUAAAAAAUGAAGAACUACAGUUUUGAAUGCUUCCUAACACCGUUUGUACAGUGUAUCAUGUUGUUCUAUGAGUUCUGUUCAUCUGUGAUGUAGAGGAUCUCAUCUCAUCAGUAAGUAAGAAUUUGAAUUAUUCUUAUUGACAACUUCAUCAUUAUCUGUACUAAUAACAAGGUUGUAGAAGCUAUGUGUCAGUAACUUAGUCACAUAUUUGACACAAUGUAUGUAGUGAAUACUUAGUUAAUCUGAGUUGCACUGAACUUCUGCUAUAUUUACCUUUAACUAUAUGUGUUGUUUUUUUUUGUUUGUUUGUUUGCUUUGUUUUCUUUUGUGGGUUUUUUUUUUUUUUUUUGUACUAAACAUUCUCUAACCUCAGUUUUAGAAUUCAGUGCACAUUUAUUUAAGCUUUAUGUUAAGUUCAUCCCUGACAACAAGUGAAAUUUAAAACUACAUGUGUUAGACAUGUUUCAACGUAUAACUACAGACAGAAGUAGACUAUUGAAUCUAUAACCUCAGAGAUUAUUCUUGUAGAAGGCAGACAAAAAACAAAAGCAGAAACAAACAACAACAACAACAACAACAACAACAGAAUGAGUGUUAUUUUCUGUGAAUGAUUUUCUGGAGUAUCUUUUCCACUGUUUUCUAUUAUUUUCCUGCACAACUUUAAUUUUUUAUGUGAUUCACAUUCUGAUAGAUCUGUAUUAUCUGUAAUUGUCUUCUCCAAUAUCUAAGAUGUACUCAUUUCUUCUUUUUCUCUUCAUAUCAUAUACUUAUUUUUUAAAAAGUGUUGAAAUACAUAAAAUGAAUAGCAGAAAUUCAAGGAGGCCAAUGACAUUUUCCCACAGGUCUACCUACAGACUGCUAUCAUAAUGAAGUAUUUUUUCCUAUGUUAAUAACGAACACAUGCUAUUUGGAUGAAAAGACAGUGAUACAUCUGGUAGACAGAAAGUAUCUAGAACUGUAGACACCUUUCUUACUGAUGCAUGCACACACACGCACAAACAGAACCUGAGUGGAUAAACUUACAAUUUUAAGAUGGAAUAAUGUCUUUCCAAAUAUUUUUCUUCUCAUACCAGUCAAAUGGCAUAUCUUUGUUACAUGUCUAUGCUACACAAUUCCAUACUAAAACACUUACUGUUUAUUAUUUCUACCUUUUGUAUACUCCUCUGGAAAAGUGUCAAGAAAGGAAAAAGUAGACUGUGAGUCUGCUUGUGAGUCGAAGUGAACAACAUUUUCAGUAUGAAGAUCCUGUCGAGUACAAUACUUGUUCAGUGCAGCCUUUGAAGGAUCUAGCCCAUUAACUUAAAUAUAUAUAUAUAUAUAUAUAUAUAUGCUUAGUGUAGAUUUGAUAACUGUAUUACACAGGUUUAGAAAUUGCCUGUCACUUCAAAACACUUUUUUUUUCUGAGGAAAAUAAAUAAUAUGCAAAAGAGCUCUUUGUUGGUAAUAUUCAGUGAGAUAACUCUGCAUUACUUAAGAACAUCUUUGGAAGAAUAACUUUGCAUACAUAAAGAUGAGAAUCAUAAUUCAUUCUGUAAUAAAUAAAAGAAAG
ensembl:lncRNA